rnacentral:rRNA from 1 species
UACGUAGGGGGCAAGCGUUGUCCGGAAUCAUUGGGCGUAAAGCGCGUGUAGGCGGCCUUGUAAGUCCGUUCUGAAAGCCCCCGGCUCAACUGGGGAGGGUCACGCGAUACUGAUCGACUCGAAGGCAGGAGAGGGUAGUGGAAUUCCCGGUGUAGUGGUGAAAUGCGUAGAUAUCGGGAGGAACACCAGUGGCGAAGGCGGGUCUCUGGGCCGAUACUGACGCUGAGGAGCGAAAGCGUGGGGAGCGAACAGG